AAAAGACUUAGUCCUAACCUUACCGUUAGCUCUUACUCGACAUAUACAUGCAAGUAUCCGCACUCCAGUGUAAAUGCCCUUAGCCCCUUACCAAGGUAAACGGAGCAGGCAUCAGGCACACCACCUUAAGGCUAGCCCAAGACGCCUUGCUCAGCCACACCCCCACGGGUAAUACAGCAGUAAUUAACAUUAAGCAAUAGGCGCAAGCCUGACUUAGCCAGAGUAAUCAGGGUUGGUAAAUCUUGUGCCAGCCACCGCGGUCAUACAAGAAUCCCAAGUUAACUGUACACGGCGUAAAGAGUGGAGCCCGCCUAUCAUAUCCAACUAAGGUAAAACUGUAACCCAAGCUGUCAUAAGCACAAGGUACCUAGAAUCUCCCUCCCUUAGCACCAACGAUCAACCCACCCCACGAAAGCUAGGGUACAAACUGGGAUUAGAUACCCCACUAUGCCUAGCCCUAAACCUUGAUGUUUGUAUUACAAAAACAUCCGCCCGAGAACUACGAGCGCAAACGCUUAAAACUCUAAGGACUUGGCGGUGCCCCAAACCCACCUAGAGGAGCCUGUUCUAUAAUCGACAAUCCACGAUACACCCGACCACUUCUUGCCAAAACAGCCUACAUACCGCCGUCUCCAGCUCACCUUCCUGAAAGCACAACAGUGAGCUCAACAGCCCCAACCCGCUAGCAAGACAGGUCAAGGUAUAGCCUAUGAAGUGGAAGAAAUGGGCUACAUUUUCUAAGGUAGAAAAAUCCAACGAAAGAGGACAUGAAACCUGUCUCCUAGAAGGCGGAUUUAGCAGUAAAGCGGGAUAAUAAUGCCCCCUUUAAACAGGCCCUGGAGCACGUACAUACCGCCCGUCACCCUCCUCGCAAGCACCAGAUAUAUUAACUAAUCCACCAAACAGCUGAAGACGAGGUAAGUCGUAACAAGGUAAGUGUACCGGAAGGUGCACUGGCAUAC
rnacentral:ncRNA from 1 species